rnacentral:rRNA from 1 species
CUAUAAGACUGGGAUAACUUCGGGAAACCGGAGCUAAUACCGGAUAAUAUUUUGAACCGCAUGGUUCAAAAGUGAAAGACGGUCUUGCUGUCACUUAUAGAUGGAUCCGCGCUGCAUUAGCUAGUUGGUAAGGUAACGGCUUACCAAGGCAACGAUGCAUAGCCGACCUGAGAGGGUGAUCGGCCACACUGGAACUGAGACACGGUCCAGACUCCUACGGGAGGCAGCAGUAGGGAAUCUUCCGCAAUGGGCGAAAGCCUGACGGAGCAACGCCGCGUGAGUGAUGAAGGUCUUCGGAUCGUAAAACUCUGUUAUUAGGGAAGAACAUAUGUGUAAGUAACUGUGCACAUCUUGACGGUACCUAAUCAGAAAGCCACGGCUAACUACGUGCCAGCAGCCGCGGUAAUACGUAGGUGGCAAGCGUUAUCCGGAAUUAUUGGGCGUAAAGCGCGCGUAGGCGGUUUUUUAAGUCUGAUGUGAAAGCCCACGGCUCAACCGUGGAGGGUCAUUGGAAACUGGAAAACUUGAGUGCAGAAGAGGAAAGUGGAAUUCCAUGUGUAGCGGUGAAAUGCGCAGAGAUAUGGAGGAACACCAGUGGCGAAGGCGACUUUCUGGUCUGUAACUGACGCUGAUGUGCGAAAGCGUGGGGAUCAAACAGGAUUAGAUACCCUGGUAGUCCACGCCGUAAACGAUGAGUGCUAAGUGUUAGGGGGUUUCCGCCCCUUAGUGCUGCAGCUAACGCAUUAAGCACUCCGCCUGGGGAGUACGACCGCAAGGUUGAAACUCAAAGGAAUUGACGGGGACCCGCACAAGCGGUGGAGCAUGUGGUUUAAUUCGAAGCAACGCGAAGAACCUUACCAAAUCUUGACAUCCUUUGACAACUCUAGAGAUAGAGCCUUCCCCUUCGGGGGACAAAGUGACAGGUGGUGCAUGGUUGUCGUCA